GACAUUUAAGCUCUUAAACUACAAUAUUCUGCAAAUAAAAACUCCGUUUCCAAGGAAAAAAUCGGUUGCUAUGGUGAUAAAACUUGAAAAAAUCCCACGCAUUUCACUAUUUAAUUUGGUAAAGAAGUAUCCAAACUUCAUAACUACAGUGCUAACUAUUCUGUACACAUUUGCACUUUUCUGAAAAACACCAGAGAAAAUUUGAUAAUUCAGCAAAAAUCCCAAUUUCAGAAAAGUUGAAAAUAAGCAUUUUUUCGCAAAAUUUUUCAAAAAAUUUACAAAUUUGGUUGACAUGCAAUCUUCACUAAAAUGAAGCUUAAACCAAGUUCUAUCAAUGUUACAUAUGAAAAUUAAUGAAAAAUGCAUGAUUCUAUUCAUAAUCAGGCUCUGAAUUGUGGUGAUUUAGCUGAUUUUUGAAAGAUUUUACCACGCUUAACAACCAAAAAAUAGAGUGUCCGUUACCAUGGCAACCACUCAUAUUUUCCCACUCAUAAUUAUUUUUGAAGCAGUAUUCAUUUAUUGCUUCUACUAGGCUAAUUAUAGAAAAAAUCUGAAACC
rnacentral:lncRNA from 1 species